rnacentral:tRNA from 2 species
GGGCCUAUGGUAUAGCGGUAACAUGCGACUAUGGCAUAGUCGAGUCCGGGGUUCAACUCCCCGUAGGUCCACCA